UACACAAAAAUGGAGAUAAUACUUUAAGAAAGAAAGGCAGGGUUCCGGACAGGAGUUGGGACGAACGACCACCUUCAAGUCCUGAAAACGUCAAUAGAGACGAAUAAAUAUAAUACGUCAAUAGAUAUAAUAUAAUAGACUAUUAGUUCUGGUUUUAGAAGACUUCCAAAAGGCGUUUCACACAGUGGAAAUGAAUGCCAUCCUCUAGGCUCUCAAAGAAUACAGAAUAGAUCACAAGUACACCCAAGUUGUAUAAGGUAUAUAUAAACAUGCAACAACGACUGUCAGACUGCAUAAAAUAGAUAUAAAACGAGAGAAUACGUUUUAAAAAACUAAAUUGGGAUAACAAAGGUAUUACAAUAGAUGGAGAAGAACUAAUAAUCUCCGAUUCGCGGAUGAUCUAAGCGAAGCAAGAGAUGGAGAGAGAUGCUGAAACAACUCCAGAACGAAUUGGAAGCAGUCGGUCUGAAUAUAAACUAUACCAAAACUAAGGCAAUGACAAACCUAGUAUCAACAGGAAAUAGAUGCAUAGAGGGAGCGCAAGUAGAAAAGUAUACCUAUCUCGGACACGAACUAAAAAUCAGCAGGGACAACCAAACUUGUGAACUUUUGAGGUGCAUAAAUAUCGGAUGGGCCUUGGGAAUGACCCUUUUGGACAUUGGCUGUUAAUAUGUUUUUACCGAGAUAGGGUGAUACACCUUCUUCCACAACAUAAAAGCGCAUAUAACGUAUGGAAUACAUAUGCAUGCGAAAUGUCCAAAACAGGAAAGAAAUAGCAAUGAAAACCAGGCAAACAGAGCGUGCAAUCUAGUCCUGAACACCAAAAAUAGAACUAAAAUGGUAUUUUU